rnacentral:tRNA from 2 species
GCCCGCGUGGGCUAGCCUGGAUAUACUAAGAGCCUGCGGAGUUCUUGACCCGAGUUCGAAUCUCGGCGCGGGCG